AUCUCUCAUCUGAACCACUACGAACUAACUAGUAGUAGUAAAUCCUCCAUGGCUAGAAACAAAACAGAGCAAAAGGAUCGAGACGACUCACGCAUCACUCGCCAUGAGCUACUUGCCUCUUGGGAGAGGUGAUGGCUGACGCUGAGGAGGCGCAGUUGCCGAAGGGUCCCCCGGCGCCGCAGGUGUCGGUGGCGGACGCGACGGCGACCGAGGCGGCGAGGUCGGCGAGGUGGAGGCGGGGGAACGGCACGUAGACGCCGUGGACGGCGAUGCGCGAGUUGACCACCACGUCGGGCUCCUUAUGGGUAUGUAGUUGAUGCAGACGUCGUUGGACUUGGAGGAGGCCGAGUCGGUGGCGUAGUGGGUGACGACGAGGCUCUGGCCCUCGCCGGCCAGCGUGGGGAGCACCGUGCCGGGGCGGAGGCGGUGGAGGUCGGCGCUCGUGAGGCGGUGGUUGGGGACGAUGUGGAAGCGCACCGCCGAGACGUAGUCGUGGCCUCCGCCGACGAAGAUGGCCGGGUCGUCGAGCGUGAACAGGGUCAGGUUGGCGAACUUCUCGAGCUCGGCGAACUUGACGGGCAUGGCCAUGAACUCGUAGCCCCCGUCGCGGAGUCGCGCCAUGGCGUCGUGGAUCAUGAUGCGCACCACGGAGGCAGCGUGGCCGCGGAGGAUGCGGGGGCGGAGCGGGCGUUGAGGUGGUGGUGGUGCGGGCCGUCGAAGCAGGAGUGCGUGAGCGGGCGCAGGAAGCCGUGGAGGCCGUGGAUGAUGUAGCGGUCUACAAGUAACAAUCUCAGACUUCGAGACAAUAAUUGAAACAAAAGAUGAACUAGGGUUUAAGAGGAGAUGGUGCUGGUGAAGAUGUUGAUGGAGAUUGGCCCCCUCCCGAUGAGAGGAGCGUUGGUGAUGAUUUCCCCCUCCCGAAGGGAAGUGUCCCCGGCAGAACAACUCCGCCAAGGUUCCGCCUCGUGGCGGCAGAGUCUCGUCUCGAAAGCUUGCUUAUGAUUUUUCUUCGGAUAAAAGACUUCAUAUAGCAGAAGAUGGGCAACGGAGGGCCACCAAGGGGCCCACGAGGCAGGGGGGCACGCCCAGGGGGUAGGGCGCGCCCCCCACCCUCGUGCCCAGGGUGUGGGUCCCCUCUGGUAUUUUCUUCGCUCAGUAUUUUUCAUUAUUUCUAAAAAUAACUUUCAUGGAGUUUCAGGAUAAAUCUGAAACAUGCAUUUAAGCGAGUGAGGUAACAUGCAUGUACUAAUCUGAAACAUGUUUCUCUGCAUUUAAGCGAGUGAGGUAACAGGAUAAAUAAAGACCAUUGCAUGAUGACAAGUUUAUCAGUUCAGAAUUCUACAGAACCUGACUAACCUCAAACUGCAUUUGCACAACUCUAAGAAACUGCUUGAUCAGACACAACUAGGACAUUGCCUAGCAACAAACAGAAACUAACUUAGCCCGGCAACCAAGUCUCUGAAAACUGCUUGAUGAGACACAAUUCAAGGAAACAAACUACCUAGUAACUUUAGUCAGGUUCUGUAGUUGAUCAAUCAUAACUACUGAUAAAAUCUUGAAACUUAACCCAGCUACCAACAUUUCUGUCAUAAGCUAGAAUUUAACCGAGGUGAGUUCAUCAGUCAAAACCAAAAUGGCGGGAAUAUCAAAGAGUUUCAGUAAGGCUGAUCCUGUAUCUGAAUGACAUUUAUCCUACAUGAUCGAUGGUGCGAAAACAGAGCAUGCAGUUGAUCAAUCAUGCAUACAAUGGUAACCAGAACAAACUGAUGUGCAGAUAACCUGCAUAUCAAACCAAUCUCACUAUCAUCCUUAACAGAUUAGAAACAAGAGAAACACCGUAAGUUCACGAGCCAAAACCGAAAGGGGAAUACAAAAGACUUUCAGUUAGCAAUUUAGAAUGAUCCUAUAUGACAUUUGCGCUGUCUAAUCCAUGGUGCAAAACACAUAAUAUGCAGAUGGUAAGGAAGAGAUUAAACCAUCACAAACAAACAAACUGAAGAAUAUCAUAACAGAAGAGAUUAAACCAUGACAAGAUCAUCUGGAAACUCAACUUAGUACUGUAAGUAUAUCAUAACAGAAGAAUAACCAAAUAAUCAUUGGAGUGAGUUUAUGGCAUCCGGUCCUGUGGCUGAUCAUCAAACACAAACGCUUUCAAAUAGAAUCCUAACAACUGAACAACAUUCCUUGUAUGCAUGGAUAGGAUGAUUCAGAGUAAAAAUUGGAAGUGAAUUGAGCCAUCUAAACAGUAACUGAUGCAUGCAGGAACAAAAUUAGCACAAGCAAACAGUGGUAACAGAGCAACGAGAAGAUGAAUCAAAUUCGCACCAAAAAUCAUUCAAGUCGUACUGGAUAAGCUAGGCUACAACCAUUCGGUGCCAAAAUGUGAUCAGAAGUAGAACACGGUACUCAUCACCACGACUGCCCAAUCUCUCAUCUGAAACUCUAUUGAACUAAACGAGUGCUCAAUCUCUCAUCCGAACCACUACGCACUAGUAGCAGUAAAUCCUCCAUGGCUAGAAACAUAACAGAGCAAAACGAUCGGGACGACUCACGCUUCACUCGCCGGGAGAGGUGAUCGCUGAGGAGGCGCAGUCGCCGAAGGGCCCCCCGACGCCGCAGGUGCCGUUCGUCUGGUCGGCGGCGAGGUCGGCGAGGUGGAGGCGGGGGAACGGCACGUAGACGCCGUGGACGGCGAUGCGCGAGUUGACCACCACGUCGGGCUCCUUUAUGGGUAUGUAGUUGAUGCGGACGUCAUCGUUG
rnacentral:lncRNA from 1 species